GACCGGGAUCGGGCUCCCCGCGUCCUGCCGAGGCUGCUGAGGGGGAGCCGUGCCACCUCCCUGCUUCUCCCUGCCCGCCAUGUCACUGUUCGAAGGCACGACUGCUCGAAAAGUGUAAAAGUCCGGAGGCUGCAGCAGGUUCCCCCCCGGCUCUCAGGUUUGGAGUCAAUAACCCGCUGAAAUGAGCGCGGCGGCGGUUGCUUUUCCAGCAAUUGUUUUCCAGCGCUCGUUCCAGGAUAUCGGGCUACACGCACGUUGGGUUUCCUCAAGAUGCCAGGGAAAAAGCGGUGGCACGGAGUGGCAGCUGGAGCCAGGGGCAGCUUGUGAGCCGAACCCCUCACGAAUUCCCUAGGAGUGAAUCUUAACAGAGUCUUCCACACAGUUCAGGCAGAGAAUGACACAGGUGCGGCACAGGAAGCCCUAAAUGAGGUAACAGAAGAAUUUUAAAAUUAGAAUAAAUGGUGCAAGUACAAAACAAUGCUACAAGGGCAGAUGAUUUCCUGUAGCAGUUUGUGUCAGUACAGGAUAUGUGCUGGGCAUGAUGCAGGGGGGCAGAAGAAUGUUUGUGUGGGUUUAGCAUUGAUGUUUGUGCAAACUUUGGUGGUAUUAAUAAGAUAGGUUGUUAAACUGGAGAGUUGAGGGUUGGAAAGGUGUUAAAUUUGGAGGAGAGGGGUUGAGGGUGGUGGGGUUGGGGUGUGACAUGAAACAUGGAGCUGGAAGAGAAUGGAGGCACACCAUAUCCAGAUCCUUAAGCACAUCCAGGGCAGUGGGGUUUUACACAUGUGCAAUCCAGGUUAAAACAUACUUAUUGGAUAGUUACAUGCCAAAAGAAAAAUCUUAACAUGGAUAGGAGACAUCAAAAGGUUUAAAAGUAAUUGCAUUAAAUAGGUUUUGUCAAACCUGCAGGCAUUGUGCAUCAUUUUCAGCGGUGAAUGAGCUGCAGAUCUGUGUUUCACAGCUGCACACAGAAGGGUUUAUUUUUGUGGUACAGUUUUACUCUUCCAGUGCCAUCUAUACUGCUGUUGCCACUGGCUGAUCUGUAGAUAAAUUCUGAUUCCUUCCUCUGAAAUAAUUUUACUGUACACAGUGUUUCUAUGAACAUUUUCCUACCUGUAGCGCUACUGGAACACCUGUUCUCUAAUUUCUUUCAUAUUUCUUCUUAGGGCUUAGGAUGUGUUUGCAACAACCUUUUCAGCCAGCUGCUAUCCUCUUCAUGUUCAAAUGUUUAAUACAAGAAUUAUGUCUUCUUCAAAUCUUCUCAGCUCGAAGGGAUAAAAGGCUAAAUUUUGAGGAUUUUUUUUUUUUAAAUAAGUAAUGUUGUACUGAGUAGUUGAUUUUGUCAUUGUUACUCUUAUUCUUCUGCAUGGAUCUUUCUUUCUCCUUAUGAGCUGUUGAUCUUAUGAAAUCAAAUUGGUAUUCUUAGCAGAAACUGUGUCUGUACUUACUGAGGGAUUUUGCAAAAAGUAAAUUAGCAAAUUACAUGUAGGGUCUGAGGCAGAAAAUUCCCCAAGCUAUUGCAGAAUUUAAGGUGUGGUUUAUUAGUUACAUCUCUUUUUUUAAAGUCUUUUCACUGCAUUUAAUUCAGCACUACACAUUAUACUGCCUGUUAUGGUUCAGUCUGUUUUAUUGGCCUAUCACAAACAAUGUUCUGUGAUCAGGUACCAUUUAACAUUGACUUUAAGAUACUUGGGAGACACUGCCAUUUAAAUUGAAAUGCAUGUUUAAUUCCAGGGGCUGGGAUCUGCCAUCGUGGUUUUUGUGAAGUAAUUACUGAGCUCUGAAGAAAGUGUUUGAGACUGUGCUACUCUUCUCAGAAGAAAAGAGGAUAAAGAAAAUCAUUCUUCUCGAAGAAAAUGUAAUUUGAAAGAUAGCAGGGAAACUGGGCCUGUUGUGCACAGGCUGUAGCAGGAUAAAGUUCCAUUAAGUAAGGAUGUAAGCCAGUGGAUGUCUGCAACAGAAAAAGAAAAGGAAGACAGAGAGGUUUGGAUUCACACAGACAACUUCUGUGGCUAAGUUGAGAUUUCCAGGUGAAAUCCAACCUGAAGUAAAAUGAAGACAAAAAAAGCAAUAUUUAGUGAGUAUAAAAUUAGAAGUAAUACAGUGGGUAGCAGUACGUAAUAUAUACUCUGUCUCACAGAAGUCAAAAAUAAAUACUUCCGAUAAUAGAAUGCAGAAAAAAAUAGCAAGAAUUUAAAAAACUUAUUUUGUCCCAUGUGAGAAACUGAACAUUAUUUGUUUUAAAAUACAUGAGUUCAGUCCACACCUCAUGCUCCUCAGCCUCUAACUAAAUAAAAUUUAACAGGAUUGUGGUAUAGAAUAGGCUGACCAAAAAACAGGCAAUUGCUUUGUUAAGUGUUUUGGUGUUCUCACUGCUCAUAGUCUAUGGUGUAAUAUAAAAAUGUUUAACCCCACUUCUGUUCACAGAAGCUGUUUUCAUUUGCAAACGAAUAAGUUACUUUACAGGUGUAAAUCUGAUAUGUAUGACUGUGACUGUAGUCGGUACAAAAGUAAUAAAAAACCUGAUGGCUUCUUAGAAAAAAACCAGAAUGUGGAAGUAAAUAGGAUAAAACAUUUUUUUGUCACAGACAGAUCAUGCCAGACUUGCCUGUUUUCUUUCUGUGGUACCGUAACUGCUUUUCUAGACAAACAAAUUUGUUAAACUGGAGAAAAGGGGAAUUUUUAAGGUAAGUGUCAGAUAGGUGAAGAAACAGCCCAGAGGAAAAGGUGGCAACGUGUUCUGUUGAAUGGCAGGGGGAUGUUGUUGGAGCUCUGUCCAGUAAUUGAUACUGAAACUGGUAUUGUUGAUGUCUUCAUUAGUGAUCUUGGCACAAAAACUAGAACUUGGCCGUGAACUUUGUUGACAUCACAAAGUUGGGAAACGCUCCCUGUAGGGUGACGUCGGACCGGAAUAAUUGGAUGACCUUGAGGAAUGGAGAAGUAAAAUGGGAUAUGUUAGAGUAACACCAAGUACAAAGUCAUGUGUUAGGGCGUAAUAGGAAAGGCUUAGCCAAGCUCAGAGCUUGUCAGAUGGAAGAUGAGAGAAUUUCAAAGAACUGGGUGUAUAAGCCAAGCACAGAGGGUCUGUGAGUCACUGAUUCGAUGCUGCUGUGGAAAAUGUGAAUUCAGUCCCAUGUAAAUUCAGCCUUGCAUUUCUUGUACAGAUGAAGCAGUACUAAUGGCACAUGUACUAAUGGUGCCUGUGGCUGGUGAGACUUUAAAAACUGAGAGGAGAUCUGGAAAUCCACGUGCAGGAAAUUGAACUUAGGAGAGCUGUAAAACCAAAAAAUUUUAAAUCCUUGCUAAAAGAGAGGACAAGAGACUAAAAGAACUUGACUUGCUUAGUUUAGACAACUGAAGCAUAAAUAUAGUCCUUGAAUAUACUAGUUGAAGCAAAUGUGACAGGAAAGGAAGCUUGUUUUUAUAAAAAAAAAAGUUAUAUGAAGAAAUGUUUCUAAACUGGGUAUGAAAAAAUUUUGAGUGAAAAUUAGAGUAAGUUUUUUAACUGUCGAAGCCUCUAAACAUUGCUAAGAGAAAGUGUCAUGUGCAAGGCAAACAUUAUAGAAUAGCACUGUCUUUAUCUCAUGGACCCCUAGAGUUGCAGAUCUGCUUUACAGCUUCUUUCCCAGCAAUGCUUCCCAUUUCCACACUUUCCCUUCUCUCUGCCUAUUUUAUAAGCCAUAUCUGAAAGAAUGAUAAUGUUGUUAAAUAUAUGGAGACUCUUCACUUUGAACUGUGUGUAGUAUCAGUUUCUUUUCAGCACUGAUACAUUAAUGAGAUGUAUUUGUAUCACUGCACAACCCAGCUAGAAAAUAAGCCCUUGCCUUUUAGUUCAGUAGUGCUUUCUGUAACUGCUCAGCUUGCUCUUUUCCUUCCUAUUUGAACAGCGUGUUCUUAUUUUUGUCCUUGCCAGCAAAUAGUCAAAAUGUUCUCAUUAAGAACUUGAGGAAUGACAUAAUGCUGGAAUUCACUGCCAGAAUCGAGCCUUACUUGGCUUUUUGACGUACAGUAGGCCAGCCUAGGAAGAGCCUGUCGUGCCUCAAAUGUUUGUUUAUAAUCAUUUGUAGUUAUCUUGCAUAGUCAUCUUUCAGUAAUCUUGAGCGUAAUGACUACAGUAACUGCUGUUUCAAGGCAGUGUUUGCCUACACUGAGUAAUUUGGCCGUGCAGAGAAACUUUCCAAAGGAAAAGGAAGUAGAAUGCAGCUCUAGACUGCUGCAUGACUGCCAGCCUUCCCACCGGGGGGAUUGUUGGCCUCCUGUCACCCAAGAUCUCCUCAAGAUUUGAAGCUUUUAUUUAUUUUUUUUUUCGGAUGAUGACUGUCCAGAUGUCCUUCAGAACUCCAGAGCAAUCCAGUGCUGAGUUACACCUUCCACACAAAGCAGCCUGAGGGCAUUCCUGUGUUAAUGAGUACAGCCAGCUCUGAACUGGCAAAGUUCAAGCUGUUCUUUGUACAAACACCGUCGAAUAUUUUAAUCUCCAUUUGCUUUUGAAAGAAUAGUUGGCUCGCAAUACCGAGGCUUAUUUUCACUCUUGCAGUGAUUUAUAAAUCCUCCCCCUCUUGCAAGUGUUAUUUAAUUUUGUCUCACAGUGUCUUUGUGAAGUAGGGAAGUAUUGCAAAUUCUGGGCCAGGUAUUUUGGAUGAAUAGUCUGUUCUCAGGAAAUCCAAUUUCCAUCUGAAAACAAAAGGUUUGUAAAUUAUUCUUGGAUUUAGUUUCUAGUUUUGGCCAAAAAUAACGGUAAAAAAGAAGUUACUUGGACUUUUUAAUGGCUAAAGUUAUAUCUUUAUUUUAAAAAGUCAAAUACCAAUUUGUUGAUACUUUUAUCAGAUAGAAUCUUCCUGCUGUAGAAUGAAAUCCACUAUUUCAACCAAAAUGAAAGUAGAAUGUUAUUCUCCUAGUAAUGCUUCUUUCAUUCAUUAUAAAUCAUACCCUGAUAUAUUAUGUAUGUACUUGUGUAAACCUAUUUUUUAACUUUCUUUAUUUUUACCAUGAGAUUUCUUCUAUAAAAAAGCAAAAAACAAAACGAAACAACAACAAAAUCCAACACAGACAAACGAUUAAAAAACCCCUUCUGCAACCUGCAUUAGUAUUUCUAUUUUAUUAGUGGGAAAACUGAGGAUCAACUUUUAUAUGUUAUGUCCUAAACCAGUCUGUGAUGGAGCCUGGUACCGAGCUUGUGUCUUUCAGACUCUUUUCUCCCAAGACUCUUCUUGUUUUCUAUUCAGUAAAGUGAAACUUUCUCUUUUAUUGCUUUGUAUUAAACUCUGUAUGAAAAACCAUAACUUCCUGAAAAAUCCCUUUGGGAUGCUGGGAGCUGGUGCAUUCCAGCAACAUGGAACAUGGUGAGUGUGGCUGCAGGAGGGUGAGGUCCCUGCACAGGAUCAGGAGUGUUGCCAAAGGUGG